AGAGUGCACACUUAUUCUACCUCAUUCCAAUUCAUAUUCGACUUAUGCACUCAUGUUUAUUAUACCACGAAUUAAAAUCACUAAUGAUGAUGAUUUAAAAAUUAUUCAUGCAAGUAUGCUAGUUGUCCAAUGUCUACAGUGAAAUUCAGUUGACAUUACCUCAAGAGCAUAAAUGAUCGUGUUGUUGAUGCAAAUUAAAAUGAUAUAUAUUUUAUAUCCAUAAAAUUAAUAGCACGUGGUACCACAAGUAUCUUGCAUUCUCUUGAGUCACAACAUUUCAUCAGACUAUUUUUUUAGGACCGUUUACCAUACAUUAGAUAUUGUCCACAUGAGAAAAUAUAAGAAAUGAAGGCAUCGUUGUACAAGAGAAAAACACAGCGUAGUAUAACAUUUGGCCCACCCACGAGAACUAAUCUGGUCAACGGCCUAUUACAUCAAGUGCCACCAUCCAUCCAUUCUAAAUUGGCCCAACUUGGGCCUGCCAGCACCGCUGUGCCACUAUGCGCACCGUCCGAUCCCCUAGACGGCACAGAUCAACAACACGAUCGCAAAAUCAGCACCGGUGGAAACCCUACCCAAAAUAUCCUCCAAUUUUCGCCGUCAUUCACGGAAAGGAAGGAGAUAGCGGCUGCGUCGGCGCCGAAUUCCUUGCCGGCGUAACCGCGCCGGCAAUUCGCGAUGCUCAACGGCGAUGUCGCGUCCGGCGUCGAUCUAUCCCGCUGUGCUCGUUGAGGAUGUGGUGCCGCCGUCCUUGAAGGCGGACGUCCUGGCCAUGGUGAUGGGGGCUGCGUGGGCCGUCGCCAUUGAUGGCAGGCUGCGCGCGCUACGGUGACGGCGGGCCGGGAGACGACGUUCGCGCGGAAGACGGAGGCUGAGCGGUUUCUGUGUGCUGGAGUUUGCUCCGGCGGCGUGGAGAGGAGCUGCAGCCGGCGCAUCGCAAAGGGAUGGAGGCCCCCUUCUCCCAGCCAGUCACCGAUUAUAUGUGGUUUGGUCGAUGAGGAUGGCGUGAAAGAUGGCUGCUCCACUCCGGGUAUGUUUGAUGCGAGCAUACAAAACCUUUGCCAUUGCGUCCCAACCUCUACUGUAUAUAUGAAUGGAUAAAAUGUUGCCUAGCGAUCGGCGGUGGAGGGCCAACGGGAGCGGGAACGAAGUUCACAGGCGGUGGUGCCAUGACCCUCUUCGAGCCAGGACGGCCCAUCCUGGGUCCCAUCGGCAUGAGUGCUAAGACCCGAUUUCUCUUCUAACACGACUCAUGGUUCAGAACGCAAGGACGUAUAUUGACUGAUCUGACUAUUUUCAUUUUCAUUGGCGCCAAGUAAACCAUGGUGAUAGGAAAAAGGAAGUGAUUGAAAGAAGGAGAUUGAUCAACGUUUGAUUGAAAGAAGGAAGGAGAUUUAUCACCGUCAUGAAUGAAUUGAUUGCCAUGCAUGAAUUGAUUGCGUUUCGAUUGAUUGUUGAUUGAUUCCGCUUGGUUGCCUUAUGUGAAUUAUUUCUUUACCAAAGAUAGAGUCGAUUGGAGGGAGAAAAGAAAAUCGGCAUAGGGAGAAAAUCGGUGGGGAGAAAACCGGUGU